rnacentral:rRNA from 1 species
UCAUUAGUUUUUUAAUUGAAAGCUUGUAUGAAUGGUUUGAUGAGAAAAUUUCUGUCUCAAUUUUAAUUUUUUAGAAUUUUAUUUUUAAGUUAAAAAGCUUAAAUAAUUUUAAAAGACGAGAAGACCCUAUAGAGUUUAAUUUUAAAUAAUUUUAUAAAUUUUAGUAUUAAUUUUUUUUAAUAUUAUUUAUAAUUGGGUUGGGGUGACUAAAAAAUUAAAGGAACUUUUUUUUUAUUUUUACAUUUAUUUAUGAUUAAUUGAUCCAUAGAAAUGAUUAAAAGAUUAAAUUACCUUAGGGAUAACAGCGUAAUUUUUUUUGAGAGUUCUUAUUGAAAGAAAAGAUUGCGACCUCGAUGUUGGAUUAAAAUUUAUUUUUGGUGUAGAAGCUAAAA